AGUGAACGCUGGCGGUAGGCCUAACACAUGCAAGUCGAACGGCAGCACAGUAAGAGCUUGCUCUUACGGGUGGCGAGUGGCGGACGGGUGAGGAAUACAUCGGAAUCUACUUUUUCGUGGGGGAUAACGUAGGGAAACUUACGCUAAUACCGCAUACGACCUACGGGUGAAAGCAGGGGAUCUUCGGACCUUGCGCGAUUGAAUGAGCCGAUGUCGGAUUAGCUAGUUGGCGGGGUAAAGGCCCACCAAGGCGACGAUCCGUAGCUGGUCUGAGCGGAUGAUCAGCCACACUGGAACUGAGACACGGUCCAGACUCCUACGGGAGGCAGCAGUGGGGAAUAUUGGACAAUGGGCGCAAGCCUGAUCCAGCCAUACCGCGUGGGUGAAGAAGGCCUUCGGGUUGUAAAGCCCUUUUGUUGGGAAAGAAAUCCAGCCGGCUAAUACCUGGUUGGGAUGACGGUACCCAAAGAAUAAGCACCGGCUAACUUCGUG
rnacentral:rRNA from 1 species